rnacentral:rRNA from 1 species
AAGAAAGUAAGAAAGGGCGCAUGGCGGAUGCCUUGGCUCACGGAGGCGAUGAAGGACGUGAUAAGCUGCGAUAAGCCUUGGGUAGGUGCAAAUAACCUUUGAUCCAGGGAUUUCCGAAUGGGACAACCCGGCAGGCUGAAGGCCUGUCAUCACUGCUAAUGCAGUGAGGCGAACGGAGGGAACUGAAACAUCUUAGUACCUCCAGGAAGAGAAAAUAAUUUAAUGAUUCCCCUAGUAGNNNNNNNNNNUGAUAAUCCCGUAUCCGAAGCAUGAUGAGACGUAGUGGUAUCCUGAGUAACGCGGAACACGUGUAAUUCUGCGCGAAUCCGCCGGGACCAUCCGGUAAGGCUAAAUACUCCCGUGAGACCGAUAGUGAACGAGUACCGUGAGGGAAAGGUGAAAAGCACUCCGAUGAGGAGAGUGAAAUAGUUCCUGAAACCAUGCGCCUACAAGCGGUCGGAGCUGUUAAUUCAGUGACUGCGUGCCUUUUGCAUAAUGAACCUACGAGUUACUUUCUCUGGCAAGGUUAAGUGAUGAAGAGUCACGUGAGCCGAAGCGAAAGCGAGUCUGAAUAGGGCGAAUUAGUCAGAGGGAGUAGACGCGAAACCAAGUGAUCUACCCUUGGUCAGGUUGAAGGUUGGGUAAAACCAACUGGAGGACCGCAC